AUCAUACUUCCUCCAUUCCGGAAAUACUCGUCGGGAGGAAUGGAUGUAUCUAGAUGUAUUUUAGUUAUAUAUACAUUCAUUUUUAUGCAUUUCUCCGACAAGUAUUUCCGGACUGAGGGACUACCUU
rnacentral:pre_miRNA from 1 species